rnacentral:rRNA from 1 species
CAGCCGCCACGGUAAUAAAGAGGAUGCAAGCGUUAUCCGGAAUGAUUGGGAAUAAAGUGUCUGUAGGUGGCUUUUCAAGUCCGCCGUCAAAUCCCCGAGCUCAACCCUGGACAAGCAGUGGAAACUACCAAGCUGGAGUACGGUAGGGGUAGAGGGAAUUUCUGGUGGAGCGGUGAAAUGCGUUGAGAUCGGAAAGAACACCAACGACGAAAGCACUUUGCUGGGCCGACACUGACACUGAGAGACGAAAGCUAGGGGAGCAAAUGGGAUUAGAUACCCCCGUAGUCCCUGUCUCUUAUAC